ensembl:misc_RNA Metazoa_SRP Metazoan signal recognition particle RNA
UCCAGGCGUGGUGGCGCGUGCCUGUAGUCCCAGCUACUCAGGAGGCUGAGGCUGGAGGAUCACUUGAGUCCAGGAGUUCUGGGCGGUAGUGCGCUAUGCUGAUCAGGUGCCGGCACUAAGUUCGGCAUCACUAUGGUGAUCUACGGGGAGCGGGGGACCACCAGGUUGCCUAAGGAGAGGUGAACCAGCCCAGGUCGGAAAUGGAGCAAGUCAAAACUCCCGUGCUGAUCAGUAGUGGGAUCACGCCGGUGAAUAGCCACUAAACUCCAGCCUGGGCAACAUAGCGAGACCUCGUCUCUU